CAGUAGCCGCGGUAAUACGAAGGGGGCUAGCGUUGUUCAGAAUUACUGGGCGUAAAGGGCGCGUAGGCGGCCAUUCAAGUUAGAUGUGGAAGCCCUGGGCUCAACCUAGGAACUGCAUUUGAUACUGUUUGGCUUGAGUUCGGGAGAGGUGAGUGGAAUUCCUAGUGUAGAGGUGAAAUUCGUAGAUAUUGGGAAGAACACCAGUGGCGAAGGCGGCUCACUGGACCGACACUGACGCUGAGGCGCGAAAGCGUGGGGAGCAAACAGGAUUAGAUACCCCCGUAGUCCCUGUCUCUUAUAC
rnacentral:rRNA from 1 species